rnacentral:rRNA from 1 species
AUUGAACGCUGGCGGCAUGCUUUACACAUGCAAGUCGAACGGUAACAGGCCGCAAGGUGCUGACGAGUGGCGAACGGGUGAGUAAUGCAUCGGAACGUGCCCAGUCGUGGGGGAUAACGCAGCGAAAGCUGUGCUAAUACCGCAUACGAUCUAUGGAUGAAAGCGGGGGACCGUAAGGCCUCGCGCGAUUGGAGCGGCCGAUGUCAGAUUAGCUGGUUGGUGGGGUAAAGGCCCACCAAGGCGACGAUCUGUAGCUGGUCUGAGAGGACGACCAGCCACACUGGGACUGAGACACGGCCCAGACUACUACGGGAGGCAGCAGUGGGGAAUUUUGGACAAUGGGCGCAAGCCUGAUCCAGCAAUGCCGCGUGCAGGAAGAAGGCCUUCGGGUUGUAAACUGCUUUUGUACGGAACGAAACGGUCUGGGUUAAUACCCUGGGCUAAUGACGGUACCGUAAGAAUAAGCACCGGCUAACUACGUGCCAGCAGCCGCGGUAA